UGGACUUGAACUCUGGGGCUCAAGCAUUCCUCCCACCUCAGCCUCCCAAGUAGCUGGGCCUACAAGUCUUCUUGGCUUCAAGUCUUCUUCCUCAGCAUUAUUCUUUAUGAGACCUGCUUCUCCAUCAGCUGUAGCAUCAGAUGGGCUCAACUCUGCUCACCUUACCUUCAUUAACAACUGCCAAGAGGGGUCCUAAAUUUCAGUAGCCAUUUCCUGAGACGGGAAUCAUGAGUGCAACUCCUUUCUGUCCAUUUUGUUUUAAAAGAAAACAUCCAGAAAACAUUGUAGAUAAGGAACCCACUUGCUGAUCAUCAGGAAACAUUCAAAUCAGUUGACAAAGAAUGGCUGAUGCUGAAAUGACUUGCUGUCUCGGUGUGGAGUGGAAACAAUCCUGCUAAAUUUCAUAUUGCAGUGACACCAAAGCAAAGGACAGAUCUCAAGACAACUUUUAUUGAAAUGGAAAACAGUUAAUUUUAACUAAAGAAUAAGAGAAAUGCCAACAGAAAUAAAAGACCCAGAAAUCAGAGGACAAUGUGCGAAACUCUAUAUACUGAGACACACAAAUUGAAACAACCCAAAUAAAUGCCAAAUGCACAAGAAAAUAAAUGUAACUUAUCAGAG